CUACGGGAGGCACUAGUGAGGAAUAUUGCACAAUGGGGGGAACCCUGAUGCAGCAACGCCGCGUGGAGGAUGACGCAUUUCGGUGUGUAAACUCCUUUUAUAUGUCAAGAAAAUGACGGUAGCAUAUGAAUAAGCACCGGCUAACUCCGUGCCAGCAGCCGCGGUAAUACGGAGGGUGCAAGCGUUACUCGGAAUCACUGGGCGUAAAGGACGCGUAGGCGGGUUGGAAAGUCAGGUGUGAAAUCCUACAGCUUAACUGUAGAACUGCACUUGAAACUUCUAAUCUAGAGUAUGGGAGGGGGAGAUGGAAUUAGUGGUGUAGGGGUAAAAUCCGUAGAUAUCACUAGGAAUACCUAAAGCGAAGGCGAUCUCCUGGAACAUUACUGACGCUAAGGCGUGAAAGCGUGGGGAGCAAUCAGGAUUAGAUACCCCCGUAGUC
rnacentral:rRNA from 1 species